CCCAGACUCCUACGGGAGGCAGCAGUGGGGGAUAUUGCACAAUGGGGGGAACCCUGAUGCAGCGACGCCGCGUGGGUGAAGGAGCGUUUCGGCGCGUAAAGCCCUAUCGGCAGGGAAGAAGGAGGACGGUACCUGACUAAGAAGCCCCGGCUAACUACGUGCCAGCAGCCGCGGUAAUACGUAGGAGGCAAGCGUUAUCCGGAUUUACUGGGUGUAAAGGGGGCGCAGACGGCAGCGCAAGCCAGGAGUGAAAGCCCGGGGCCCAACCCCGGGACUGCUCUUGGAACUGCGCGGCUGGAGUGCAGGAGGGGCAGGCGGAAUUCCUGGUGUAGCGGUGAAAUGCGUAGAUAUCAGGAGGAACACCGGUGGCGAAGGCGGCCUGCUGGACUGCGACUGACGUUGAGGCCCGAAAGCGUGGGGAGCAAACAGGAUUAGAUACCCUAGUAUC
rnacentral:rRNA from 1 species